rnacentral:misc_RNA from 1 species
AACGCAUCUUGCGCCCUUUGGUAUUCCAAAGGGCAUGCCUGUUUGAGUGUCAUGAAAAUCUCAUCCCUUCGGUUUUCCGAUGACGAUGGACUUGGGUGUUGCCGUCUUGGCUCACCUCAAAGGAGUUAGCGGUUCUUGGGAUCGAUCUGGCGUAAUAAGUUUCGCUGGCCCGGUCUGGAGGGCUGCUCAUAACCUUCCGACACUUUUGCUCUGACCUCAAAUCAGGUAGGACUACCCGCUGAACUUAA